CCUACGGGAGGCAGCAGUGGGGAAUAUUGCACAAUGGGGGAAACCCUGAUGCAGCGACGCCGCGUGAGUGAAGAAGUAUUUCGGUAUGUAAAGCUCUAUCAGCAGGGAAGAUAAUGACGGUACCUGACUAAGAAGCCCCGGCUAAAUACGUGCCAGCAGCCGCGGUAAUACGUAUGGGGCAAGCGUUAUCCGGAUUUACUGGGUGUAAAGGGAGCGUAGACGGUUAUGUAAGUCUGGAGUGAAAGCCCGGGGCCCAACCCCGGGACUGCUUUGGAAACUGUGUAACUGGAGUACAGGAGGGGCAG
rnacentral:rRNA from 1 species